UAGAAUUUGUGAAAUGCUGACUUUAAAUGAGACUGUUGAAACCCCUAGUUGCACCAUGAACUUGUUUGUCAGUAGCCUGCCUCGAUUUAAAAACUGACCAAUACGCAGAACAAGCUCUUGCGUAUUGAAUCAGUUGAGAUAUAUAAACACCAUAUGCAGGUGAUAAUGGAAUAUUGCUACAUAAAUAUGGGAAGUUGAUGAUGGAGAAGCUGAAGUCAUCCUGUUUAUCAUACAGUUGAGUUGUUAGUUUGCCGUUAACAUCUAUGUUCAAUGAAAUAUCCCAGUAGGAAGCAGAUGUUGGCGAUUAUUUUAAGUUCACUGGAAUAUAUCGAAUUGACAUAUGAAUGAAAAUGAGUAUUGCUGAUAGAUAAAGUGUCAUUGAGAUAUCUAAAUUUGAAUUGGCAGCCAUUUUUUCUCAUGUGGAAACCUUUGAAUAAUUUCUGCCUUGUACGAAUAUAAAACAGGUCAGAUAAUAAAGGAGAACAAUUCGUGUCCAUGGGAAUUCCAACAGACUGUUGGAAGACGACUACAAAAAUAUUGUCAAUGAGGCACUCCAGCUUCAUCGUUAGAGUACUUGUGUAUACAGAGUUGUGUAUAAGAAAGCAAUGUUUUGGAUGACUGACCACAAAAUAUUAAUAUUUCCUUUUCCUAGUUUUAUUAUACGUCCGUCAUUAGACGGGAGGUAUUAUGUUAUGUGCGUCUGGCUGGCUGGCUGGCUGGCCGUACGGAGUCAUGUUUUCCAGACUUUUUUCCAUAACGGAUGCAUGUACAACUUUGAAAUUUGGUCACAAUUUGUCCCUUAAGAAUUGUAAUAGUGAGUUUGCAUUUCAGCUGGAUUAGUCCAUCCUUGACCUACUUUAUGGCUAUAAGUAGGUCAAACAGUUUUCCGGACUUUUUUUCAUUACAGAUACAGAUAUUGCCCUGAAAUUGACACAUAAGCUUCCUUUCAGAGGAAUACAAGUUCAGAUUGUAUUUUAGCUGGAUUGGUCCAUCCUUGACUUACUUUUGGGCUAAAAAUAGGUCAAACCGUUUUCCAUGCUUUUUUUUUAUUAUGGAUACAGAUAUUGCCCUGAUAUUUAGGAAAAAAGGAAGACAAUUGCAAUUAGCAUUUCAUUGGUGCAAUAUGACAGUAUUUUAGGGGUAGAUGUAGGUCACACAGUUUUCCAGAUAUUUUUUAUAUGGUCACAGGUAUUGCUCUGAUUGAUUAAUUGCUGUUUUCCCGCCACACUCAACAAAUUUUCAGUUAUCUGGUGGUGCCCAGUUUUUAUUGGUAGAAAAGAGAACCCAGAUACAAUGUACCUGGGAAAAGACUACCGACCUUCCGAAAGUAAGCUGGGAAACUUCGAACCCGCGCCGACCAGAAGCGAGAGAGAGUGGCCUUGUGACUUUGAGCGCGAUGCUCUAACCACUCGGCCACGGAGACCCUUUGUAUUAGUCUGUAAUUUAGUCACAAUCUCCCUCUCAGAGAAAUACAUAAGCAGUUCACAUUUCAACUUAAUUGGUGCACCAUGACCUAGUUUAGGGCUAAAAGUAGAUCAAAUGUUUUCUGGACUUUUUAUCAUCGUAGAUAGAUAUCGAACCGACAAUUUGUCACAACCUCACUCUCAGAGAAAUAAGUAGGCUUUUCUAUUCACAAUUUGUGUUAUAUCAAUUCAGAAUGCACAGUAUGCUUCCAGGUUGAAUUUCACUGUCCGACGGGCGUAUAUUGUACCGUUUGCGGUACUCUUGUUGAAGAAGCAGUUGUUUAUGAUGUCAUAGAGCCCAUUGUGAGGAAUGGUCGGGUAAAGUGUUGAAAAUCGUACGUUUUGAUGUUGAUUUAAGAGAAGGUUUGUGAUCUCAAAUUUACUAGAAGUUCCUCUGAUUUUUUGUAGAAGUCACAUUUGAUUUACACCACUGGCAUACAUUUAUGUUGUGAUACAAUACGUUUCAAAUUUCUUUUUCACUGCAGUAAAUAUUUUGGUGAGGAGCAAAGAUGGGGGUUGGUAGAACAUUUACUCGAUCCAGCAAUGUAUCUCUGUUCGUAAGGGUUUUUGGUGAAGUUUUGGAAUCCAGUAUAGAUACGAUUUCGACAGAAAAUCAAAGGAUCUGAGAGAAUUGAUGGUGGAUGUGAUGGGUCAAGUUAACGUUAAGAUCUUAGUCGGGUUUUUGGAAAGAAACAACGGUAUGUUCAUCGUUAGGACUCGCGGUAAACGUAGCCAUGCAGGAGACGAUUCAAGACAGUAGGACAGAUUUAGACAAAGUGCAGGAUUUUAAUGAAGACUCGCACCGGUACCCUGACAUGAACACCUAAAUUUUUCGAGCCUCGAAACCAGCCUUGCUUAUGAUCAUGCCGAGUCAUAGCCGUGAUGGAAGUUGCCAGGAAACAACAGGUUAACUUAUCAUCAUAAAGUAAAUAGGCUUAUAACUGUCUACAUGUCUUCGCUUCCAAUAUCAUAGAACUUUAUAAAAUCGCCAUGCAGAAGUUGAAGACGGUAUUUAAAACUGUAUAAAAUGAAACAACAGAAUGAUAUGUUUAAUGUUUCUCUUUUAUAAAUUGAUGACAUUCUUGUUUGUUUACAAAAUAAAAUCUGUAUAAAUAUC